rnacentral:rRNA from 1 species
GNGNNGGGNGCUAUAAUGCAAGUCGAGCGAACGGACGAGAAGCUUGCUUCUCUGAUGUUAGCGGCGGACGGGUGAGUAACACGUGGAUAACCUACCUAUAAGACUGGGAUAACUUCGGGAAACCGGAGCUAAUACCGGAUAAUAUUUUGAACCGCAUGGUUCAAAAGUGAAAGACGGUCUUGCUGUCACUUAUAGAUGGAUCCGCGCUGCAUUAGCUAGUUGGUAAGGUAACGGCUUACCAAGGCAACGAUGCAUAGCCGACCUGAGAGGGUGAUCGGCCACACUGGAACUGAGACACGGUCCAGACUCCUACGGGAGGCAGCAGUAGGGAAUCUUCCGCAAUGGGCGAAAGCCUGACGGAGCAACGCCGCGUGAGUGAUGAAGGUCUUCGGAUCGUAAAACUCUGUUAUUAGGGAAGAACAUAUGUGUAAGUAACUGUGCACAUCUUGACGGUACCUAAUCAGAAAGCCACGGCUAACUACGUGCCAGCAGCCGCGGUAAUACGUAGGUGGCAAGCGUUAUCCGGAAAUUAUUGGGCGUAAAGCGCGCGUAGGCGGUUUUUUAAGUCUGAUGUGAAAGCCCACGGCUCAACCGUGGAGGGUCAUUGGAAACUGGAAAACUUGAGUGCAGAAGAGGAAAGUGGAAUUCCAUGUGUAGCGGUGAAAUGCGCAGAGAUAUGGAGGAACACCAGUGGCGAAGGCGACUUUCUGGUCUGUAACUGACGCUGAUGUGCGAAAGCGUGGGGAUCAAACAGGAUUAGAUACCCUGGUAGUCCACGCCGUAAACGAUGAGUGCUAAGUGUUAGGGGGUUUCCGCCCCUUAGUGCUGCAGCUAACGCAUUAAGCACUCCGCCUGGGGAGUACGACCGCAAGGUUGAAACUCAAAGGAAUUGACGGGGACCCGCACAAGCGGUGGAGCAUGUGGUUUAAUUCGAAGCAACGCGAAGAACCUUACCAAAUCUUGACAUCCUUUGACAACUCUAGAGAUAGAGCUUUCCCCUUCGGGGGACAAAGUGACAGGUGGUGCAUGGUUGUCGUCAGCUCGUGUCGUGAGAUGUUGGGUUAAGUCCCGCAACGAGCGCAACCCUUAAGCUUAGUUGCCAUCAUUAAGUUGGGCACUCUAAGUUGACUGCCGGUGACAAACCGGAGGAAGGUGGGGAUGACGUCAAAUCAUCAUGCCCCUUAUGAUUUGGGCUACACACGUGCUACAAUGGACAAUACAAAGGGCAGCGAAACCGCGAGGUCAAGCAAAUCCCAUAAAGUUGUUCUCAGUUCGGAUUGUAGUCUGCAACUCGACUACAUGAAGCUGGAAUCGCUAGUAAUCGUAGAUCAGCAUGCUACGGUGAAUACGUUCCCGGGUCUUGUACACACCGCCCGUCACACCACGAGAGUUUGUAACACCCGAAGCCGGUGGAGUAACCUUUUAGGAGCUAGCCGUCGAAGGNNNGANCAANNNU